rnacentral:tRNA from 1 species
GACUCUGUGGUGUAGUGAUCAGCAGAUACGUCUGAAAAACGAGGGACGUAGGUUCAAAUCCUUUCGGCGUUU